rnacentral:rRNA from 2 species
UCCGUAGGUGAACCUGCGGAAGGAUCAUUACAGAGUUCAUGCCCGAAAGGGUAGACCUCCCACCCUUGUGUAUUAUUACUUUGUUGCUUUGGCGAGCUGCCUUCGGGCCUUGUAUGCUCGCCAGAGAAUACCAAAACUCUUUUUAUUAAUGUCGUCUGAGUACUAUAUAAUAGUUAAAACUUUCAACAACGGAUCUCUUGGUUCUGGCAUCGAUGAAGAACGCAGCGAAAUGCGAUAAGUAAUGUGAAUUGCAGAAUUCAGUGAAUCAUCGAAUCUUUGAACGCACAUUGCGCCCCUUGGUAUUCCGGGGGGCAUGCCUGUUCGAGCGUCAUUUCAACCCUCAAGCUUAGCUUGGUAUUGAGUCUAUGUCAGUAAUGGCAGGCUCUAAAAUCAGUGGCGGCGCCGCUGGGUCCUGAACGUAGUAAUAUCUCUCGUUACAGGUUCUCGGUGUGCUUCUGCCAAAACCCAAAUUUUUCUAUGGUUGACCUCGGAUCAGGUAGGGAUACCCGCUGAACUUAAGCAUAUCAAUAAGCGGAGGA